rnacentral:lncRNA from 8 species
UGUCACAUAGCUGGACAAUUUCCACUUUAGUCUAUUUACGACAGAUAGACAGGUUGGUUGCAUUUCCCACACAAUUUAUUACAUCGGCCUUGACAUCGCAAGAAAAAAAGCACAUCAUAUAUUCCGCUGUAAAGGCUGUCUGAGGUCGCAGCUUUGAAGAUGUCAUUAUUAAGGAGAAAUGAUACGAGGACAUUUGAAUUCCAAAGUGAAAUGAGCGGCCUUCCAUCCAAGCAGACACGAUAGCAGCAUCCCAUUCCAGGGAACAUAAAAGUUGUACCCGCCAGUGUGCAGCCCACCGCUGAAAAAGUUCAUAAAAGCAAGAGGAACGGCUAGUCGGCGACAUAGUGCCUGAUGAGGAAGUGAGACGGGUUGGUAAGAAAUCAUUCUCCUCUGAGCAUCUUGCUCAUCCCCAGGCCUUUUGUGAGAUUGCCUGCAAGACUGAACUAAUCAAAGAAAGUUGGAGUUCGACACGCAAGACUCAGCACACCAGUUUACACAGUGUAUUCUCUGAUGCAACACUGAAUAUGAGAAGCGGCAAACUACAAAGUCCACCUAACACUGACUAGUCUUUUCAGCAUCAAUCAAACUGUCACUUGCUAAAAACUAGGCAUGGUUAUUCAGAAAGUCUAAGUACUCAUAGUUGUUGUAAACAACAAUUUGAGGUGGUUCUAAUAAAAGAUAAUUGCAUGCCAUGACAAAAAAAAUAUGAUUUUUUGUUUUACUGGUAAGCCUUUUAAGAUCGAGAGACAUGUGCUUGUGUAAUUCUAACUAACAUCCAUUUGACGUUAUGUAUCGUGAAUAAAUGAGGGAUGUUUUUCCUCAGAAAACAACAUAUACAUCAUAACUGUCAUGGGAAAACUGUCACCACAUCAAUCACAAAGUGCAUACAUGUUUGUUUUUAAUGAAAAGCUAUGUUGUGUGAUGACUAAAACGGGAUGUUGAUAUGUUUUCCACAAGAAAAUAUGCACGGUUUUAUUGUGUCUUUUGAAGUCACUUGAAGCAGAAUGAAGGAAAAAUAACAUGAACAAUUCCAAAGGAUUCAGCUUGAAUAUUACGUUAUUCCCUUUGAAGAGAAAUACCACAACAGUUUGGCGAGCACUGCACGAAAUACUCUGAAACCGAGGUAUAUGAAAACUAUCGUCUCAGAACCAGACUUGCUCAGAAGAAGGUGAGAGACUCGUUGGCGCAAUACAAGGACAGCUGAAGGUUGAAAGAGAGACAACGUGACCGCAGUGUGAAGACUAUAUCUCUCUGUUGGAUUUACACACACAUUUAAGUUUCAUGGGAAAACAGGGGGCCUCCAAACAUGUUGUGUGCACGGCGUUGUCGGCUAGUCUUUCGGUGUUUACCUGAUGGGUGACAUGAUCAGUGAGUGGGGAGGAAGAGAGGAAGGAAAACAGCUUGUACUGUAUAAUCUAUUCCAGCUCUGCCAGACACUAGGCAAUGCUUUAUAACUUGUGUAAGUAAAUAUAUAAUUUAGCAAAUCACAUCCUCCUUGUGCAGGGUCACUAAACUGUAGCCGUGCUGCUCUGACGCUGGGAGAUUUUUGAAUGGAAAUCUUAUAAGACGGCGAUAUAGCGGGAUGAAUGGCAUGGAUAGUUCUAAAGUCACUGGAUGAAGUUAUGUCGUGCAUACAGUUUUCAAUUAGAGUACAGCAAUCAUCAAUAUGAAGAAAAAUAUAAACAAAGUUUUAAAACAGUGCUUGGUGCUGUGGGAACCAUCAGAAGAACUCUUCCUUGAAAGAAUAUUGACUACACACAUUUUAUAAUCGAAUAAAUAUUUCU